rnacentral:lncRNA from 1 species
UGUCAGAUUUGCUCUAAAUGCUUUGGUUUUUGAGUUAUAAGCCAAAAACUGAAUUUUACCCCUAUGUUCUAUUUUUAGCCGUGGCGGCCAUCUUGGUUGGUUGACCGGGUCACGCCACACAUUUUUUAAACUAGAUACCCCAAUGAUGAUUGUGGCCAAGUUUGGUUUAAUUUGGCCCAGUGGUUUCAGAGGAGAAGGUUUUUGUAAUAGAUUACUAAGAUUUACGAAAAAUGGUUCAAAAUUGACUAUAAAGGGCAAUAACUCCUAAAGGGGUCAACUGACCAUUUCAGUCAUGUUGACUUAUUUGUAAAUCUUACUUUGCUGAACAUUAUUGCUGUUUACAGUUUAUCUCUAUCUAUAAUCAUAUUCAAGAUAAUAACCAAAAACAGAAAAAUUUCCUUAAAAUUACCAAUUCAGGGGCAGCAACCCAACAACAGGUCGUCCAAUUCAUCUGAAAAUUUCAGGGCAGAUAGAUCUUGACCUGAUAAUCAAUUUUACUACAUGUCAGAUUUGCUCUUAAUGCUUUGGUUUUUGAGUUAUAAGCCAAAAACUGAAUUUUACCCCUAUGUUCUAUUUUUAGCCGUGGCGGCCAUCUUGGUUGGUUGACCGGGUCACGCCACACAUUUUUUAAACUAGAUACCCCAAUGAUGAUUGUGGCCAAGUUUGGUUUAAUUUAGCCCAGUGGUUUCAGAGGAGAAGAUUUUUGUAAUAGAUUACUAAGAUUUACAAACUAGAGGCUCUAAAGAGCCUGUGUCGCUCACCUUGGUCUAUGUGAAUAUUAAAGGAAGCAGAUGGAUUCAUGACAAAAUUGUGUUUUGGUGAUGGUGAUGUGUUUGUUCAUCUUACUUUACUGAACAUUCUUGCUGCUUAAAAUUAUCUCUAUCUAUAAUGAACUUGGCCCAUUAGUUUCAGUGGAAAAUGUUAGUAAAAAUUUACAAAUUUUAUGAAAUUGUUAAAAAUUGACUAUAAAGAACAAUAACUCCUAAGGGGGUCAAUUGACCAUUUCGGUCAUGUUGACUUAUUUGUAAAUCUUACUUUGCUGAACAUUAUUG